rnacentral:piRNA from 1 species
UCACCUGAAUUCUAGGAACGGUUGGGUCUA